CUAAACCGUACUAUACUACACAAUACUAUUACUAUUUUAUCUACUGUACUGCACAGUAAUAAAGAUACUAUAUCUCAGCUUUGGAGCAUGUUACAAUAACACUAUGUGCACUCCUGUGUUACUCUUGAUCUCCCUAACGCACACUGUGAAUUUGGGGAAGAUCUGAGAACGUCAAAUUUUUCACCCAAAAUAGAAAAAUGGUAAGGGGUUAACCUUUGUGAUUUUUUGGGGGUCAAAAAUUCAUCGUUCUCAGAUUUACACCAAAUUCAUACCGUGCGUUAGGGAGGGCAAAACGAACAGAAGAGUCUGAUUCGUUUCGUCCGAUCAUGCUCCAGAGCCGAGAUCUGAGCCUCUCAUUUCCGGUUUAUUACACUCAAUAAAAUAUACAGGUUUAUACACAAAUGUACACAUUUUAAUGGUCGAUUUCAGUUAAACUACACAUUAAGUGUACACGUUUUCAUGGAAAUAUACCGGUUUUAUCUGCUAUUCUUUACUUUAACAAUUUUAUCAACUCUACUGUAGUAUAUUUGACAUAUUUCAGCUAUUAUACUACACUAUAACAAUUUAUCUACUAUAACGUACAUGUUUUAUCUGCUAUACAAUAUGAUAGCAUGCUGUACUAUAUUUUACUAUCCUAGACUAUAACUAUUUUAUCUACUGUACCUAUUUAAUCUAUUGAACCAUAGUAUACUACACAAUACUAUUACUAUUUUAUCUACUGUACUGCACAAUAAU
ensembl:lncRNA